rnacentral:rRNA from 1 species
AUGUCCAUAAACUUGCGUGAUUUUGCGCUCCAGGAGCCAGAUGUCCGGCUUAGGGCCCGGGUGUCUGGCCUGAGGCCCGGUUGUCCGGCCCGACGAUUCCAGAUCUCGUUUGGGGCGGAAAUUUUUGAAUUGGGGGCGGAAAUUGAUGAUUCCAAGGGCAAAAUUGAUGAGAUUUCGUGGAUGAUAGGUGGGGAAACUUGGGGAUAUGCUAGAUCCACUGGAAACCAAGCAAAUCCAUGGAUCAAAAUCAACAAAACAUCAUCAAACCAACAAAUCACAAAAAAAUUGGGGCUAUUUUUGGUGGGGAUUUUCAAAAUUCGGGAAGAACAGAACAAAAUCAAACUAGAAAAUGAAGAGGGAAGGGGCUCCAAAUUCGUGAUCAACCUUGCUCUGAUCCAAGAUGAUGUUGGAUGGAACCCUAUACGGCCGAUCUUUCACGAAAGGAGCGGAUCCCGCGAAGAACACGAAGAACACGGGGAAGAACAAAGAGAAAUCACAAGGGGAAACACUCAAGAACAAGUCCAAUCACACAUCCACUAG